rnacentral:rRNA from 1 species
GACGAACGCUGGCGGCGUGCUUAACACAUGCAAGUCGAGCGGAAAGGCCCUUCGGGGUACUCGAGCGGCGAACGGGUGAGUAACACGUGAGUAACCUGCCCCAGACUUUGGGAUAACCCUCGGAAACGGGGGCUAAUACCGGAUACGACACAGCUUCGCAUGGGGUCUGUGUGGAAAGUUUUUCGGUUUGGGAUGGGCUCGCGGCCUAUCAGCUUGUUGGUGGGGUGAUGGCCUACCAAGGCGACGACGGGUAGCCGGCCUGAGAGGGCGACCGGCCACACUGGGACUGAGACACGGCCCAGACUCCUACGGGAGGCAGCAGUGGGGAAUAUUGCACAAUGGGCGGAAGCCUGAUGCAGCGACGCCGCGUGAGGGAUGACGGCCUUCGGGUUGUAAACCUCUUUCAGCAGGGACGAAGCGUAAGUGACGGUACCUGCAGAAGAAGCGACGGCCAACUACGUG